UCCCGUGACAAUAGUUUUCCGUGAACCACCUGUUCUCAUUCCGAACACAGUCGUGAAAGCGGUAAACGCCGAUGAUACUGAAUGGGAAAGUAGGUAUUGCGGGAU
rnacentral:rRNA from 3 species